rnacentral:lncRNA from 1 species
UCCACGACAGGCCUAGCGGGCCGACUUCGAGGACCCCGACAGGAAGUGGCGCAGGUCAGUAGCCGAAAGGGACGAAGACCCACGGGAGCGGCGAUGGCCGCGCGACCGACGAGGCUUUUUCAAAGAAUCGGCAGCGACACCAGGAACGACGAUCAUACCAUGCGCGCUGAAGGCACGUGAGGUACCGGGGGAACCUGAGAUGGCGGCAAGAGCGGCAUCGGGGUAGGCGACGGCAGGAUGGCUCGUGAGAAGGUCAGAGUGGCGAACCUGAGAGAGGCGACGGUGGACGUCGAUCAGUACAGCGUUGAGACGUUGAGUCUCAGCCACGGCCACGCUGUUAGGGACGCCAGCGGGCGACAUCAGUCACAUGGCCUAGGCGGCAUGCUGGAGUUGCACUUCGCGGCAGUAUUCCUCGAGGAUGUCUUGAACACUCAUGGUGAAAGGGGAUGGUAUGAGAAGUUGAAGAGGAGAGUAGGCUAUUUAUAGGAAGGAGAAGGGGGAGCGGCUCGAAUAUCGAGGAGCUUUAAUGGAGGUGGUUGUAGGCGGGAUGGGGACGGGCGGCCCCCGGGCGAGUGGGACGGGGACGGGACGGAGUACUGUUGGUACCAUGGACCGCGGACCGCGGCCCAUGGACCGAACUAGGCUGGUCGGCAGCCCGGGCGAGUGGGCGGGCCCAACGCACGAGCCCACGAGGCCCGAGGACGACGGUGGGAGGCUAUAAAUACCUCCCCUGGUCCAACAGGGGAGGGGGUUGAUAAUUCGAAGAAGGAUACUUGUACUAAGUUGCGAUUGUGAAC